UACAGAGGGUGCAAGCGUUAUUCGGAGUUACUGGGCGUAAAGAGCGUGUAGGCGGUUUGAUAAGUCUGGUGUGAAAGCCCUAGACCCAAUCUAGGAAGUGCAUUGGAUACUGUCAGACUAGAGUACAGGAGAGGAGAGCGGAAUUCCAGGUGUAGAGGUGAAAUUCGUAGAUAUCUGGAGGAACAACAGAAGCGAAGGCGGCUCUCUGGACUGUCACUGACGCUGAGGCGCGAAAGCGUGGGGAGCAAACAGG
rnacentral:rRNA from 1 species